AGCUCCAUUAGCGUAUAUUAAAGUUGUUGCAGUUAAAAAGCUCGUAGUUGGAUUUCGGUGCGGGUCGCGUCGGUCGGUCGCAAGACUUGUUUACUGGCCGGCCUGUUCUUUCUCUCCGAGACCUCGCGUUUCCUUUACUGGAUGCGCGUGCGAAUCGGAGGCGUUUACUUUGAAAAAAUUAGAGUGUUCAAGGCAGGCUCGUUUAGGCUUGAAUACAUGAGCAUGGAAUAAUGGAAUAUGACUUGGGUCACUAUUUCGUUGGUUCUAUUGACCGAAGUAAUGAUUAAGAGGGACAGUUGGGGGCAUCCGUAUUUCGUAGUCAGAGGUGAAAUUCUUGGAUCUGCGAAAGACGAACUAAUACAAAAACAUUUACCAAAAAUGUUUUCAUUAAUCAAGAACG
rnacentral:rRNA from 1 species